rnacentral:lncRNA from 1 species
AUUGGUUCUCAUUGUGGGAAAGAUGGUUGCUAAGUUCACACAGUUAAGCUUUUACUUAAGAUUGUGAAGUUUGUUUCUACCAAAUUAAGUAUUAUGACAAGUAUAUUUAGCAAAACUACUUUAAGGUUCUCAAGCUUUGGUUCGUGUCCUAGAAAAUACAAAUAUCCCGGUUCAGAGGUUACACCAGUCUCAUCACUUCCUCCUGGCCUGAGUCACCAUUUCUCUUGGGACCCAGCAUCAAGUACUAGCAGAUCCCCCUGAGCAGUGGUCAGAUUUCUGUUAGCCACUCCCACCACAUCAUCUACCGGUAGUCACAUGGCCCCUUUUUCUACAGGUGUCUCUUGAUCUUUUGGUCCACCAGGUCAUGUGGAUAAAGGUCACAGUUAGAAUCUGUGUUCAUUACUGCGUGUUCAUGUAGGCUUGUGUUGUAU